GUGAGAACAUCUCAGCAAAAUACUAGUAGCCACUGGUCAUUUCUCAGGUCUUUGGAUCAGCAACAGUUCAGAAAUGAAGAUGAUGACAUUUGUGAAGGAGGCACCACUGAUAAGCUGCUGGCCUGCUAUCCUGCUGCUCAGACCGUGCAGUGGAGAUCAAAACGAUGCUCAUGGCUUCCAGCACCACUGUAUAGACCAACACUACCCAAACCUGUCCCUUUGAUUUUCCUUUGAAGACUACUGAAGGGUUUGCUGCUCCCCUGCUUCCUGGACCCCAAAGCAAGGAGUGAAGCCACUUCAUGUGCUGGACAUGGGUAGGAAAGAGCAAGGCAAUGCUGCAGGACAGCAUUAACCAGUGGGUGAAGAAAGUGCUGAGGAGAGUUACUGCAGAGAAUGACCCGACAGCUUUAAAGCUGGUUUGAGAACGAGCCCUGUCCUUUUUUCACUGCCCUCACGACCUGGAGAAGAGAUCUGGGGCCGGCCAUGCUCACGUUUGCUACACAGUUGACAGACGGUGCUGUGGAGCAAGAAGUACUGCAAGGGCUCCAAGAUUGCUGUUGCGUUAUAAAUAUGAACACAGUACGUACAAUUAAAGAACUUUAAUGCUUG